rnacentral:rRNA from 1 species
UUUUGGACAAUGGGCGAAAGCCUGAUCCAGCAAUGCCGCGUGCAGGAAGAAGGCCUUCGGGUUGUAAACUGCUUUUGUACGGAACGAAACGGCCUUUUCUAAUAAAGAGGGCUAAUGACGGUACCGUAAGAAUAAGCACCGGCUAACUACGUGCCAGCAGCCGCGGUAAUACGUAGGGUGCGAGCGUUAAUCGGAAUUACUGGGCGUAAAGCGUGCGCAGGCGGUUCUAUAAGACAGAUGUGAAAUCCCCGGGCUCAACCUGGGAAUGGCAUUUGUGACUGUAGAGCUAGAGUACGGUAGAGGGGGAUGGAAUUCCGCGUGUAGCAGUGAAAUGCGUAGAUAUGCGGAGGAACACCGAUGGCGAAGGCAAUCCCCUGGACCUGUACUGACGCUCAUGCACGAAA